UAGGGAAUCUUCGGCAAUGGGGGCAACCCUGACCGAGCAACGCCGCGUGAGUGAAGAAGGUUUUCGGAUCGUAAAGCUCUGUUGUAAGAGAAGAACGUGUGUGAGAGUGGAAAGUUCACACAGUGACGGUAACUUACCAGAAAGGGACUGCUAACUACGUGCCAGCAGCCGCGGUAAUACGUAGGUCCCGAGCGUUGUCCGGAUUUAUUGGGCGUAAAGCGAGCGCAGGCGGUUUAAUAAGUCUGAAGUUAAAGGCAGUGGCUUAACCAUUGUUCGCUUUGGAAACUGUUAAACUUGAGUGCAGAAGGGGAGAGUGGAAUUCCAUGUGUAGCGGUGAAAUGCGUAGAUAUAUGGAGGAACACCGGUGGCGAAAGCGGCUCUCUGGUCUGUAACUGACGCUGAGGCUCGAAAGCGUGGGGAGCAAACAGG
rnacentral:rRNA from 1 species